rnacentral:rRNA from 1 species
GAUGGGCUCGCGGCCUAUCAGCUUGUUGGUGGGGUGAUGGCCUACCAAGGCGGCGACGGGUAGCCGGCCUGAGAGGGUGACCGGCCACACUGGGACUGAGACACGGCCCAGACUCCUACGGGAGGCAGCAGUGGGGAAUAUUGCGCAAUGGGCGGAAGCCUGACGCAGCGACGCCGCGUGAGGGAUGAAGGCCUUCGGGUUGUAAACCUCUUUCAGCUCCGAAGAAGCGAGAGUGACGGUAGGAGCAGAAGAAGCACCGGCUAACUACGUGCCAGCAGCCGCGGUAAUACGUAGGGUGCAAGCGUUGUCCGGAAUUAUUGGGCGUAAAGAGCUCGUAGGCGGCUCGUCGCGUCUGCUGUGAAAGCCCGGGGCUUAACCCCGGGUCUGCAGUGGGUACGGGCGGGCUAGAGUGCGGUAGGGGAGACUGGAAUUCCUGGUGUAGCGGUGAAAUGCGCAGAUAUCAGGAGGAACACCGGUGGCGAAGGCGGGUCUCUGGGCCGUAACUGACGCUGAGGAGCGAAAGCAUGGGUAGCGAACAGGAUUAGAUACCCUGGUAGUCCAUGCC